GGAGCAGGCCCGCUGUGUGUAUACAGGCCCGGACACCACCAGUAUGGAAAACUUACCUGCCCAGUGCCCACUGCUCAUGCUGCCCUUUUAAAGUUGUGAAUGCAAAACACACUGAAGAGACUGCAGCCGGCGCGCACCUCCUUGUACAGCUUACGGUGACAUCAUCACAAGCAUGUGUGACAUCACAGGGUUCUAAACCAUCUUCAGGUCUUGCAGCAGGGGGACGCAGUCCUGGGCCUCUCCUCGGCUGCACCUGGUUGAACUACAAAUCCUGCACCUGUGUACGCUCGUGGCGGCUCUGCACCAUGCUCUCCAUUCACUGCAUACAGUUCUGCUCCCUGAAGUCUAUUCACUGCAGAUGGCUCUGCACCCCGCACUCCAUUCACUGCAGGUGGCUGAGAGUAAUGUUUUCUGGGUGCACUGUCUGCUGCAGUCUACAU